rnacentral:rRNA from 1 species
UGAGGAAUAUUGGGCAAUGGGCGGAAGCCUGACCCAGCCAUGCCGCGUGCAGGAAGACAGCCCUAUGGGUCGUAAACUGCUUUUUUAGAGGAAGAAUAAAGUCUACGUGUAGACCGAUGACGGUACUUUAAGAAAAAGCAUCGGCUAACUCCGUGCCAGCAGCCGCGGUAAUACGGAGGAUGCAAGCGUUAUCCGGAAUUAUUGGGUUUAAAGGGUCCGCAGGCGGCCCGUUAAGUCAGUAGUGAAAACCCGGGGGCUCAACCCCGGGACGUGCUACAGAUACUGGCGGGCUAGAGAAAGUCUGGAGGCAGCGGAAUGUGACAAGUAGCGGUGAAAUGCAUAGAUAUGUCACAGAACACCGAUAGCGAAAGCAGCUGCCUAAGACUUAUCUGACGCUCAGGGACGAAAGCGUGGGGAGCAAACAGGAUUAGAUACCC